CUCUUUCUUUGCACCCAUGGGACUGGGGUGAGGGGUGAUGAUGGCUGGGGAAAGAGAGAGAAAAGCUGGGACCUAAAGGUCUCAAGCUUUCUGUCUGGGCCUCACACUCAGGCCUAAGGCUAGCAACCUUGGCAUCCACGUGGGCCAGACCAGACGCCACCACUAAGAAACAUGCAGGCUUUACUGAGGAAAACAGCAGCAAACUGGUCCAGAAAGAAAGAAAGAAAAGAAAAGAAAAAAGAAAGGAAAGAAAAUAAUGGCCUCUGCUUUGGUUACAAGUCCACAAAGAGCUGCUGAAGCAAAUGGAGUAAAACAGUGAUUCAGUUGGACUGUCCUUUAGCAUAAACAGGAUCACGGUCACUGAAAUUAACUCAGGAAUAAGUUCAAGUCUAAUCUUGGAUUUUUUUUGUACUAACCCUGUAUCUGAGAAAGCGUAGCAAGUUCCCCACAUCGUGUGGCGGCAGCCUGGCAGAUACUGCACUUCAUAACAUCCUGGAGGUUGAAAGUACAUAUAUUGAAGACAUAAACUAACCAGGGCCAGCACAGCCUUGGCGCCACAUUCCCAAAGGCCGAAUAACAUACACAAACAAGGUUGUGUCAGACUCUAAGUGCUUCUCUUUUAUUAACUCUUUUGAACUCCACAAAAACCCAAGAGAUAAGACACUAUUACCCCAAUGGAGACACUAAGGCACUAAAUGAAGGGUAUAAAGAACCAGGAUCAAACAAGCUGUCUGGCUGGAAAAUUCACCACUACACUCCAACAGCAAAACACUGGAUCCAGUGUUCUAUAUGUCAGCUCAUCUGCAAACCUGAAAUAGUAAUUCUAAUGAUUUGAACUCUAAAAUGAACCAUUUCAGUGUCUACAUGGAGAAUAUAAGUAAUCCUUCAGGUCAACAACUAUCCUCUGGCUUUGACUUUGAGAUCUUAGAUCUCAAACAUCACAAAGAUGGAAAGAACCUUUUUACAAGCAACACCUAGGCAACACUAUAAACCUAAGUCAGGGUCCCUGUUGAGUUAUCAAGACAGUAAAUGCCACCACUGAUCUAAAUCCCAAUGGUGGGCAGGUCGCAGGCGCACAGUCAUGGACUCUCCUGUCAAUCUUUUUUACUUUACAAGGAAGAAAAAUCUGUUCAUUUCAAUCUAAAAUAAGAGUCCUUUUGAGGCACUGCACCAUAACAGCAAAUAUGAACUGAGUCCAGGGAGUUGCAUGACCCUCAUGGCCUAUUUCUCUGGCUUCUUGUAUUAGUAUUUCUGUGAAUUUUAUAGGCAUUUGCUUUUCCAAUCGCAUGAUCUUUUAUUUCUUCUUUUCCCAGUAACCUCUUCUGGAAUUAAGCUUGUGCACGGGGGAAAGAAAACUUCUGUACAUUCCUUCAGCAAACAUUUUACUGACAACUGAAUGGGAUAAUACACAUAAUGCAGUUACCACAGCAUCUGAGACAUGGAAAGUACUCCACAAAUGUUUAUGUUAGUUCUAUAUAUUUCUUGCAACAUGCACUUGGGAAAUGCAACAUAAAAAUAAGUCAGAGGGAAUAAGCAGUCAUCUAUACACACACAUCAGAUCUUGGUAGAAGUAAAAAAGCUUCCCAGGCAGAGAGUUGCGAUGAGUCCCUGGAAAAUAUUUUCCCAGCUGCAGUGAUGGUACAGUGUUCCUUCCUACAUUAUGGCUCCUAUCUGGGCUGCUGGAGCUUGAGAGCAUAUUUUCUCUGCUUCCCCAGGGCCUAGAGCAGUUUCUGGUACUUAGUAGACACUGAAGUACAGGCUUGUUUAAUGGAUGACUGCUUAAACUGGUACUAAUUUGUACUCUCCGUAUUUACGGAACAAAAGAAGGAGGAGGAGACAGUGAGAGGGGACCCAAAUACAAAAUAAAUACAAAGGAAUUUAGGGCUUUAUUGGUGAGUCCUAAAUUUGCUUAAGGUAUCAUUUUUAACAAGACAAAGGAAUAGGUUUUGGCAGAAUCCAGAUGCCCCAGCAUCAUCGCCUUCUUCCGACACCACGGUUAAAGGAAUAUCUGCCAGAAAUAAAGGGAGGAAGCCAUGUUACCAAUUCUGUGACGUGACAGAGGAUACAAGAAGCAUAGGGGAAAUUUUAAGAGGUCAAAAUAAAUGCUGAAAGCCAGAUUUUAUUCAA